rnacentral:rRNA from 1 species
GACGAACGCUGGCGGCAUGCCUAAUACAUGCAAGUCGAGCGAACAGAUGAAGUGCUUGCACUUCUGACGUUAGCGGCGAACGGGUGAGUAACACGUAUGGAAUCUACCUAUAAGCGGGGGAUAACAUUCGGAAACGGGUGCUAAUACCGCAUAAUAUCUUCUUCCGCAUGGAAGAAGAUUGAAAGACGGCUCUGCUGUCACUUAUAGAUGACCUUGCGGUGCAUUAGUUAGUUGGUGGGGUAACGGCCUACCAAGACGAUGAUGCAUAGCCGACCUGAGAGGGUGAUCGGCCACAUUGGGACUGAGACACGGCCCAAACUCCUACGGGAGGCAGCAGUAGGGAAUCUUCCGCAAUGGGCGAAAGCCUGACGGAGCUAUGCCGCGUGAGUGAAGAAGGCCUUCGGGUCGUAAAACUCUGUUAUAAGAGAAGAACAAAUUGUAGAGUAACUGCUACAGUCUUGACGGUAUCUUAUCAGAAAGCCACGGCUAACUACGUGCCAGCCGCCGCGGUAA